rnacentral:rRNA from 1 species
UACGUAGGGUGCAAGCGUUAAUCGGAAUUACUGGGCGUAAAGCGUGCGCAGGCGGCCAUGCAAGACAGAUGUGAAAUCCCCGGGCUCAACCUGGGAACUGCAUUUGUGACUGCAUGGCUAGAGUACGGUAGAGGGGGAUGGAAUUCCGCGUGUAGCAGUGAAAUGCGUAGAUAUGCGGAGGAACACCGAUGGCGAAGGCAAUCCCCUGGACCUGUACUGACGCUCAUGCACGAAAGCGUGGGGAGCGAACAGG